UGUAUGUGUUGUGUGUGUGUAAAUUUGAUUUUGAACAGUAAAUGCUAUUUUCAAUGGGAAAUUUUAUUUUAAACGGGAAAGUAGCACGGGUGGGUGGGGUGUGUGUGUGCUCAUGCAUGUGUGUAAAAGCUCUGUAUGAUGCAAAUUAUGGGUACUGAAAAAAAGCUGCUGAUUUCGGAGUGCAUCUGAGGCUGUUGCAAAACCAUAGGGUCUUGACUGCAACAUUGCCAAUGAUUAGAGACCCAAGUUAAACUCAUAGUUUGCAUCAAGGUGUUUUUAAACCUCUGACAGGUUCAUUUUGUCAUGCAAAGGAACCUGUGAUCUGAUCUAA
rnacentral:snoRNA from 11 species